CUAAAGUGGCAGCGUAUCGGUUCUGCAAGUGUCAAAACGCNCGCGGAUGAAAAGGGAAUACGGUGAGGACGACCCAAGUAAGGGCCGAAACCGUGGCUGCCCCCGCAACUGUGAACGGCGAGCGAUGUCCAUCAUGCCAUUGGCCCCACGGCCGAUAAGGCGGACAAAGCCCAGACCCGUGAGCCAGGAGACCUGCCGAUAAGCAUGCGCGAAA
rnacentral:ncRNA from 1 species